rnacentral:rRNA from 1 species
AGAGUUUGAUCCUGGCUCAGGACGAACGCUGGCGGCGUGCCUAACACAUGCAAGUCGAACGGACUUAUUUUGGAAAGUUCUUCGGAACUGGAAUCUAUAAGUUAGUGGCGGACGGGUGAGUAACGCGUGAGCAAUCUGCCUCGGAGUGGGGGAUAACAGCUGGAAACGGCUGCUAAUACCGCAUAAUGCAUUCUGGUCGCAUGGCCUAAAUGCCAAAGGCUUGCUGUUCUGAGAUGAGCUCGCGUCUGAUUAGCUAGUUGGUGGGGUAACGGCUCACCAAGGCGACGAUCAGUAGCCGG